AUGGAUGCCGUGCCGACGCUCUACUCCCUGGCGCAGUGCACGCCGGACCUCUCUGCGGGAGACUGCCUGGCAUGUCUCCAGCGGCUCAUCGGCAUGGUCAACGCCACCACGUCCAUGCGCCAGGGAGGACGGAUAUUCGUCCUGCGCUGCAACAUCAGGUUCGAGACGUUUAUGUUCUUCGACCAACCUAUGCGGCGGAUCAAUCCAUCCUCCAUCACUCGGGCUCCUCCAACAGGAAUCAAAGCAUGGAUAAUUGCAAUAUGUCUGGCUUCUGCUGUGGCACUAGCUGCUUUCUGCUUCAUGGUUUAUUGUCGUUGCCUCAGAGGAAGGAUCAGAAAACGUUCAGUGAGAUUGCGAGAAAGGCGUACUAUUAAGUUGCACGGAGGGGAUCAUGAACUAGUAUGGGAUAUGGAAACAGGAAUGUUAUCAGGGUUUUCGUUUUUUGAGUUUGAUCAGAUACAGGAGGCCACGGGUAACUUUUCUGAAGAAAAUAAACUUGGAGAAGGUGGAUUUGGCCGAGUAUACAAGGGACAUUUUCUUCAGGGAAUGGAGAUAGCAGUUAAGAGGCUUGCUUCACAUUCAGGACAAGGUUUGGCGGAGUUCAAAAAUGAAGUUCAGCUCAUAGCCAAGCUUCAACAUAGGAAUUUGGUGAGACUGCUGGGAUGUUGCUCUCAAGGAGAGGAAAAUAUACUGGUCUAUGAAUACAUGCCGAACAAAAGCUUGGACUUCUUCAUAUUUGAUGAACGCAGAAAAGCUUUAAUGGAUUGGAACAGACGUCUAUCAAUAAUUGAAGGAAUAGCAGAAGGCCUUCUUUAUCUACAUAAGCACUCUCGUCUGCGUGUUAUACAUCGAGAUCUUAAGCCAAGCAACAUUCUCUUGGACAAUGAAAUGAAUCCUAAAAUUUCGGAUUUUGGACUAGCAAAAAUAUUCAGCCCAAAUAACAACGAGGAAAACAGUACGAGAAGAGUAGUUGGUACAUAUGGUUACAUGGCUCCCGAGUAUGCUUCUGAAGGCCUAUUCUCUAUCAAAUCCGAUGUAUUCAGCUUUGGUGUUUUAGUUCUCGAGAUCCUUAGUGGGAAAAGGAAUUCCGGUAGCCAUCAAUGUGGUGAUUUCAUCAAUCUCCUCGGAUAUGCUUGGCAGUUAUGGGAAGACAGAAGAUGGAUUGAUAUCGUUGAUGCAUCACUUAAUUCAUUUCUUCCAAAGACUCACCCAACAGAAAUUAUGAGGUGCAUUAACAUUGCACUACUAUGUGUACAAGAGAAUGCAGUAGAUCGACCAAACAUGUUGGAUGUUACUGCAAUGCUAAGCAGCAAGACAAUGAUCCUACGUGAGCCUAAGCACCCACCGUAUUUCAAUCUAAGGGUUGGCAAUGAAGAGGAUACUUCUGCUACACAAUCGUGCAGUAUCAAUGGUGUUACGCUAUCUAUAGCAACUGCUCGAUAG
rnacentral:rRNA from 1 species